CUUCCUUUUGGAAGGUUGAACUCCAAUACUACCGCAGACACGGCCUGGUUUGUGACCCUGGGCAAGUCUCUUAGUAACUUCAUCUAUAAAAUGGGGAUACUAUUAGAGGUCGUCUCCCAGGAUAAAAUGAGAUGAUAAAGCGCUUCCUAACCCUUUAAGGGCUCUAUAAAUGCUGAUUGCUCUUAUUAUUUUGCAUCAUAAGAUGUCAUCCUGCUUCUAGGUUGACCUCCAGACGAACCCCACCCCGUGGUCCUGACCAGUGGUUCCAUUCCGCGAUCUAGACCCCACUCCCACCCCUUCUCUUUCUCUCCACCAGCCUCCUCAGCGUCUGCCUAACCCAGAGGCCUUAGCGAACGGGGUGAAGGAGGGAAGAAGUGAGCCAAUGGGUUGGGCGAAGGAAGGCGGAGAGGCGGUGCUUUCACCCUAAAGGUCCCGCCCCCUUCCUUUCCUCCAAUGACGCUUCGAACUCGCUUAGCGGGUGUCUGCCAGUUUUGACCAAUGGGACCUCAAGGUGCGUCCCACUUCGCGCCCUCUGGUGGUUCCGCCAAUGAGUGAAGUCCCCUUCCCGCUUCCGUGGAAGCGUCCAAUGGGACGUAGCCUUUGGUGCCGCCCCGAGAUGGGUCCCGCCCCCUCUGGCAGCGUGCUUUGGGCGGCUGCAGAGGAGACCAUGGCCGGUAGGCUGUGGCUGCGGGCAGUGCUCUGCCACUUGUGGCUCUGCCUCAGUGGUACGGCCGCGCUGCGCUGCCACCUGGUGCAGCUUACCCAGCUGGGCCCCAGCUCUGGCCUGACCAUGCAGAAUUGUGAGGAAGAGGAGUUGUGCCACCAGACACUGCUGCGCGUGCGCACUGGUGAGGCCGCCCUACAGGUGUCGGGGCCCAGGCCCAGCCUCCCUCCCUCCUGGCCCCUCCUCGAAGCCCCUCUUUCCCCCACCCCCCAGCAGCCCCGCCCUUCCCCUCCCACCCCCAAUCUCCAGCCUCCUUCCCCAGCCCAGCCCUCCCCCCCCUCCCCACACUCCUAGCCCCUGGGCCCCUCCCCAUCCCCAUCCCCUUCCCAUCAGCCGCCGCCUCCCUCCCCCCAGGUUCCCUCUUUCCCCAUUCCCCCAGUACCUGGGCCCC
rnacentral:lncRNA from 1 species